CCUACGGGGGGCAGCAGUGAGGAAUAUUGGUCAAUGGACGAGAGUCUGAACCAGCCAAGUAGCGUGAAGGAUGACUGCCCUAUGGGUUGUAAACUUCUUUUAUAAAGGACUCAAACGAGGCACGUGUGCCUUUUUGCAUGUACUUUAUGAAUAAGGAUCGGCUAACUCCGUGCCAGCAGCCGCGGUAAUACGGAGGAUCCGAGCGUUAUCCGGAUUUAUUGGGUUUAAAGGGAGCGUAGAUGGUUUGUUAAGUCAGUUGUGAAAGGUUGCGGCUAAAAAGUAAAAUUGAAAGUGAUACGGGCAGUCUUGAGUACAGUUGAGGUAGGCGGAAUUCGGGGUGUAGCGGGGAAAUGAUGAGAGAGCACGAAGAACCACGAUUGAGAAGGCAGAUUACUAAACUGUGAAGGACAUUGAUGCUCGAAAGUGUGGGUAUCAAACAGGAUGAGAGACACUAGGAGGC
rnacentral:rRNA from 1 species